AUGCCUCUGUUCUGUGGCACAGGGGGACAGACUCAGACCGAGAGAUUAUGAAGAAGCUUCUCAUCACGGUCCUCUUUGUUGUGUUUCUUCUUGAUUGGAGCCUUGAAGACUCAGUGGAACAGUCAGUGGAUGCAAUGACGGUCAAAGAAGACAGUACUAUUACCCUAAACUGUACUGUGAAAACGAGCAGUGUAUUACCGGUUGUUUUCUGGUACAGGCAGCGCCCCAGCCAGCGACCACAGUAUUUGUUUAGGAUUAACGCAGGAAAAGUAUACCGAAGUGAAGAUGCAGCCGACCGAUUCAAUGCUUCCUACAAUAAAAGUGAAAAAUAUACCGAACUAUCGAUUAAAAACGCCAUCAUCUCCGACUCAGUCAUGUACCUCUGCGCGAUGAGCCCACGGUGCUGA